GACGAACGCUGGCGGCGUGCUUAACACAUGCAAGUCGAGCGGUAAGGCCCUUUCGGGGGUACACGAGCGGCGAACGGGUGAGUAACACGUGGGUGGCCUGCCCUCAGCUCUGGGAUAAGCCUGGGAAACCGGGUCUAAUACCGGAUAUGACUCCAUGACGCAUGUUGUGGGGUGGAAAGCCUUGUGCGGCUGAGGAUGGGCCCGCGGCCUAUCAGCUUGUUGGUGGGGUGAUGGCCUACCAAGGCGACGACGGGUAGCCGGCCUGAGAGGGCGACCGGCCACACUGGGACUGAGACACGGCCCAGACUCCUACGGGAGGCAGCAGUGGGGAAUAUUGCGCAAUGGGCGGAAGCCUGACGCAGCGACGCCGCGUGGGGAUGACGGCCU
rnacentral:rRNA from 1 species